rnacentral:rRNA from 1 species
GCUUACGGCCAUACCACCCUGAAAAUGCCCGAUCUCAUCUGAACUCGGAAGUAAAGCAGGGUCGGGCCUGGUUAGUACUUGGAUGGGAGACCGCCUGGGAAUACCAGGUGCUGUAUGCU